rnacentral:rRNA from 1 species
GAUGAACGCUAGCGGCAGGCUUAAUACAUGCAAGUCGAGGGGCAGCACAGGUAGCAAUACUGGGUGGCGACCGGCAAACGGGUGCGGAACACGUACACAACUUACCUUAGAGUGGGGGAUAGCCCAGGGAAACUUGGAUUAAUACCCCAUAAAACAGGGGGCCCGCAUGGGCAUAUUGUUAAAGAUUUAUCGCUUUAAGAUGGGUGUGCGUAUGAUUAGGUAGUUGGUAGGGUAAAGGCCUACCGAGCCGACGAUCAUUAACUGGUGUGAGAGCACGACCAGUCACACGGGCACUGAGACACGGGCCCGACUCCUACGGGAGGCAGCAGUAAGGAAUAUUGGUCAAUGGACGGAAGUCUGAACCAGCCAUGCCGCGUGAAGGAUGAAGGUCCUCUGGAUUGUAAACCUCUUUUAUAGGGGGCGAAAAAGGGCCAUUCUUGGUCAACUGACGGUACCCUAUGAAUAAGCACCGGCUAACUCCGUGCCAGCCGCCGCGGUAAGAC